UACGAAGGGGGCUAGCGUUGCUCGGAAUUACUGGGCGUAAAGGGAGCGUAGGCGGACAUUUAAGUCAGGGGUGGAAUCCCAGAGCUCAACUCUGGAACUGCCUUUGAUACUGGAUGUCUUGAGUGUGAGAGAGGUAUGUGGAACUCCGAGUGUAGAGGUGAAAUUCGUAGAUAUUCGGAAGAACACCAGUGGCGAAGGCGACAUACUGGCUCAUUACUGACGCUGAGGCUCGAAAGCGUGGGGAGCAAACAGG
rnacentral:rRNA from 1 species